AGAGUUUGAUCCUGGCUCAGGAUGGACGCUGGCGGCGUGCUUAACACAUGCAAGUCGAGCGAAGCACUUAUGAAGAUUCUCCGGAUGAAUCAUUUGUGACUGAGCGGCGGACGGGUGAGUAACGCGUGAGUAACCUGCCUCAUACAGGGGAAUAACAGUUAGAAAUGACUGCUAAUGCCGCAUAAGCGCACAGGGCCGCAUGGCCCGGUGUGAAAAACUCCGGUGGUAUGAGAUGGACUCGCGUCUGAUUAGCUAGUUGGCAGGGUAACGGCCUACCAAGGCGACGAUCAGUAGCCGGCCUGAGAGGGUGAACGGCCACAUUGGGACUGAGACACGGCCCAAACUCCUACGGGAGGCAGCAGUGGGGAAUAUUGCACAAUGGGGGGAACCCUGAUGCAGCGACGCCGCGUGAGUGAAGAAGUAUUUCGGUAUGUAAAGCUCUAUCAGCAGGGAAGAAAAUGACGGUACCUGACUAAGAAGCCCCGGCUAACUACGUGCCAGCAGCCGCGGUAAUACGUAGGGGGCAAGCGUUAUCCGGAUUUACUGGGUGUAAAGGGAGCGUAGACGGCUUUGCAAGUCUGACGUGAAACUCCGGGGCUCAACUCCGGAACUGCGUUGGAAACUGUAAGGCUUGAGUGCCGGAGAGGUAAGCGGAAUUCCUAGUGUAGCGGUGAAAUGCGUAGAUAUUAGGAGGAACACCAGUGGCGAAGGCGGCUUACUGGACGGCAACUGACGUUGAGGCUCGAAAGCGUGGGGGGCAAACAGGAUUAGAUACCCUGGUAGUCCACGCGGUAAACGAUGAAUACUAGGUGUUGGGGGACAAAGUCCUUCGGUGCCGCCGCAAACGCAUUAAGUAUUCCACCUGGGGAGUACGUUCGCAAGAAUGAAACUCAAAGGAAUUGACGGGGACCCGCACAAGCGGUGGAGCAUGUGGUUUAAUUCGAAGCAACGCGAAGAACCUUACCAAGUCUUGACAUCGAUUCGACGGGAGUGUAAUGACUCCUUUCCCUUCGGGGACGAAGAAGACAGGUGGUGCAUGGUUGUCGUCAGCUCGUGUCGUGAGAUGUUGGGUUAAGUCCCGCAACGAGCGCAACCCUUAUCUUCAGUAGCCAGCAUUUAAGGUGGGCACUCUAGGAAGACUGCCAGGGAUAACCUGGAGGAAGGUGGGGAUGACGUCAAAUCAUCAUGCCCCUUAUGACUUGGGCUACACACGUGCUACAAUGGCGUAAACAAAGUGAAGCGAGAGUGUGAGCUUAAGCAAAUCACAAAAAUAACGUCUCAGUUCGGAUUGUAGUCUGCAACUCGACUACAUGAAGCUGGAAUCGCUAGUAAUCGCGAAUCAGAAUGUCGCGGUGAAUACGUUCCCGGGUCUUGUACACACCGCCCGUCACACCAUGGGAGUCGGAAAUGCCCGAAGUCGGUGACCUAACGAAAGAAGGAGCCGCCGAAGGCAGGUCUGAUAACUGGGGUGAAGUCGUAACAAGGUA
rnacentral:rRNA from 1 species